rnacentral:rRNA from 1 species
CCUACGGGGGGCAGCAGUGAGGAAUAUUGGUCAAUGGGCGGGAGCCUGAACCAGCCAAGUCGCGUGAGGGAAGACGGUCCUACGGAUUGUAAACCUCUUUUGCCGGGGAGCAACGGGGUCCUUGCGAGGUCCCAAUGAGAGUACCCGGAGAAAAAGCAUCGGCUAACUCCGUGCCAGCAGCCGCGGUAAUACGUAGGGGGCAAGCGUUAUCCGGAUUUACUGGGUGUAAAGGGAGCGUAGACGGCCAGACAAGUCUGAAGUGAAAAUCCAGCGCUUAACGUUGGAAGUGCUUUGGAAACUGCCGG